rnacentral:rRNA from 1 species
GUGCUAAGGUAGCAUAAUCAUUUGUUCUUUAAUUAAGAACUAGUACAAAAGAUUUAACAUUUUAAUUAAUUUAUUAAUAUUAAUAUUUUAAUUUAUUUUAAAUGUAAAAAAACAUUUAUUCUUAAGAAAGACGAUAAGACCCUAUUGAACUUAACUUUAGUUAAACUGGGGUAGUAAAUUAAUUAUUAUUUUAAUUAAAAAAUUUUUAAUAAAUAUCUUUUUACUUUAAAUAAUUUAGUUACCAUAGGGAUAACAGCAUAAUUAUAUUUAUGAGACCUUAUCUAAAAAUAAACUUAUGACCUCGAUGUUGAAUUAAUAACCUACUAUAAGUAAAAAUUUAAAUAGGAAGUCUGUUCGACUUUUAAAAAAUUACAUGAUUUGAGUUCAGACCGGUGUAAGCCAGGUCGGUUUCCAUCUUCUAAAAAGUUUUCUACAGUACGAAAGGACCUAAAAAUAUUUAAUUUAUUCAAUUGGCAGAUAAUUGCAUUAGAAUUAGAAUCUAAAUAAAAUUUU